rnacentral:ncRNA from 10 species
AUCGUUCAACCCUUAUGGGUCGGAAGUAGACGAAAGUCGAAGGAUCGCAUG